CUUACUCAUUAGGGGGAUAAUGUCAUUGUUGUCAGAUAUGUUGAUCUAAAAGCAGCAUCAUUCGACUGCCUAAGAAUAUGGAUGUGGAGAUAAAUAAUAUCAUGGUUUGCCAUGCAGGUACAUUGAUCUAAAACCAUGCAGUACUUGACUUCCUGAGAAUGGAUAUGUUGGUUCUGCAUGAUAUUAAGUUGAAUUCAACAUCAUGAGACUGCAUGUUAGAUCUGCAUCUUGUUUUUGCUGCAUGGAGGAUGGAAAUUCUACUCGAGAUUGUUCAGUUUUAGUGAAAGUGGUGAACUAAACUUGAUAAUGUAGACUGAGGAGAUCUAGUCAAUGUGGGAUAAUUAAAUUUACAUGAUGAUCUGAACCAUUCUUUCGAUCUGGGACAAUUAUGAACGGGUCAUAUAACAAAAUUACAGUGAUUGUACAGUCCCAAGCAUUUGUUGGUAUGUUACCCUUACCUGCAAUUUCCUGUUUUUGACUUUAUUAUAGACAAGAUCUUGUAAAACUCGGUUCCCUAAUUUCUGGCUUCUACGAAAUGACCGAAGUGAACUUAAUGCCGACCAAAUACAUACUCAUAUUUUCGCUUUAUAAAUUCAAUGCAAGUUACAUUACUGAAGUGAAAGUGAACCUGACAUAUCUGAAUGACAAAUUUUGUGUACCUGGUUUGUUCCUGGAGUUUGGAUGAGUGGUUGGUGUUGGAAAUGAAUCAUUCCUCUUAUUCAAAUUCCGCAUAUUUCCAGCAAUUGAAGUCUUAUGGAAUGGAUCAGCUGUACCUCUGUUAUGUGGUACGCUCUGGAUCUUAAAUCAUUUAUAUUGUCUAUGGUUUUUAUGCUCUUUUCA